rnacentral:rRNA from 1 species
UGAAACUUAAGCAUAUCAAUAAGCGGAGGAAAAGAAACCAACAGGGAUUGCCCUAGUAACGGCGAGUGAAGCGGCAACAGCUCAAAUUUGAAAUCUGGCUCUUUCAGAGUCCGAGUUGUAAUUUGCAGAGGGCGCUUUGGCUUUGGCAGCGGUCCAAGUUCCUUGGAACAGGACGUCACAGAGGGUGAGAAUCCCGUACGUGGUCGCUAGCUAUUGCCGUGUAAAGCCCCUUCGACGAGUCGAGUUGUUUGGGAAUGCAGCUCUAAAUGGGAGGUAAAUUUCUUCUAAAGCUAAAUAUUGGCCAGAGACCGAUAGCGCACAAGUAGAGUGAUCGAAAGAUGAAAAGCACUUUGGAAAGAGAGUCAAACAGCACGUGAAAUUGUUGAAAGGGAAGCGCUUGCAGCCAGACUUGCUUGCAGUUGCUCAUCCGGGCUUUUGCCCGGUGCACUCUUCUGUAGGCAGGCCAGCAUCAGUUUGGGCGGUGGGAUAAAGGUCUCUGACACGUUCCUUCCUUCGGGUUGGCCAUAUAGGGGAGACGACAUACCACCAGCCUGGACUGAGGUCCGCGCAUCUGCUAGGAUGCUGGCGUAAUGGCUGUAAGCGGCCCGUCUUGAAACACGGACCAAGGAGUCUAACAUCUAUGCGAGUGUUUGGGUGUCAAGCCCGAACGCGUAAUGAAAGUGAACGGAGGUGGGAACCCGCAAGGGCGCACCAUCGACCGAUCCUGAAGUUUACGGAAGGAUUUGAGUAAGAGCAUGGCUGUUGGGACCCGAAAGAUGGUGAACUAUGCUUGAAUAGGGUGAAGCCAGAGGAAACUCUGGUGGAGGCUCGCAGCGGUUCUGACGUGCAAAUCGAUCGUCAAAUUUGGGCAUAGGGGCGAAAGACUAAUCGAACUAUCUAGUAGCUGGUUCCUGCCGAAGUUCCCCCUCAGGGAA